GGUCUGUUUCCACUUUUUACAGAGCCUCUCAUCCCCUUCUCUUCUUCUUUUCUUCUUUCUUCUUUUUUUUCUUUUCUUCCUCCUUCUUUCUUCUCCGUCGGUUUAUUCUUUCUUCUCUAUAUGGCAACCACCACUUGGAUUGGGUCACAUACCACCCCGGAUCCGUCUAGAUCCGUUCACCCCCAACCAUCUCCGACAAGAUUCGGUCGCUUAAGACGACAAUCUAUGCAGAUCCGACCAUUUCGAGUUAAAACCCGGUUCUCGGACUGGUUUCCGGGUUUCCCGGUUCUUACCGGUCGAACCGGGUUUUUGAUAAUUGACCCGGGUUUUUGACCUUUUUGGGUUUUUACAUCUAACCGGACCGGACACAACAGCGGUUCGCGGUUGAACCGGUCGG
rnacentral:lncRNA from 1 species